rnacentral:rRNA from 1 species
CAAUAGCGUAUAUUAAAGUUGUUGCGGUUAAAAAGCUCGUAGUUGGAUUUCUGCCGAGGACGACCGGUCCGCCCUCUGGGUGAGUAUCUGGUUCGGCCUGGGCAUCUUCUUGGAGAACGUAUCUGCACUUGACUGUGUGGUGCGGUAUCCAGGACUUUUACUUUGAGGAAAUUAGAGUGUUUCAAGCAGGCACACGCCUUGAAUACAUUAGCAUGGAAUAAUAAGAUAGGACCUUGGUUCUAUUUUGUUUGGUUUCUUAGAGCUGAGGUAAUGAUUAAUAGGGAUAUUGGGGGUAGUUCAUAUUUAAUUGUCAGAGGUGAAAUUCUUGGAUUUAUUGAAAGAUGAACUUAGGCGAAAGCAUUUACCAAGGAUGUUUCUAUUAAUCAAGAACGAAAGUUAGGGGAUCAAAGACGAUUAG